rnacentral:misc_RNA from 1 species
GCAAACUUGGUCAUUUAGAGGAAGUAAAAGUCGUAACAAGGUCUCCGUAGGUGAACCUUCGGAGGGAUCAUUACUGUUCAGCUGCCUGGGCCCGUCAGAUCCUGCAACCCCACCCUUUAGGGGGUGGAGGCUGUAUGUGGUCGCGAGCCCAGUCUUCUAACACCCUUGAUUUUGAGCACCAUUUGUUUCCUCGGCGGGCCUGCCCGCCAGCGAGGACCCCAUAAACUCUUUGUAGUAGCAUCAUUUGUCUGAUAUACCAACAAAAAAUCAAAACUUUCAACAAUGGAUCUCUUGGUUCUGGCAUCGAUGAAGAACGCAGC